rnacentral:tRNA from 1 species
GGCUCGUUGGUCUAGGGGUAUGAUUCUUGCUUGGGGUGCAGGAGGUCCCGGGUUCAAAUCCCGGACGAGCCC